rnacentral:rRNA from 1 species
GCACGGGUGGGUAACGCGUAUGCAAUCUACCUUUUACAGGGGAAUAGCCCAGAGAAAUUUGGAUUAAUGCCCCAUAGUAUAUAUGAAUCGCAUGGUUUAUAUAUUAAAGUUCCGACGGUAAAAGAUGAGCAUGCGUCCCAUUAGUUAGUUGGUAAGGUAACGGCUUACCAAGACUAUGAUGGGUAGGGGUCCUGAGAGGGAGAUCCCCCACACUGGUACUGAGACACGGACCAGACUCCUACGGGAGGCAGCAGUGAGGAAUAUUGGACAAUGGGCGCAAGCCUGAUCCAGCCAUGCCGCGUGCAGGAAGAAGCAUCUAUGGUGUGUAAACUGCUUUUGUACAGGAAGAAACACUCCUUCGUGAGGGAGCUUGACGGUACUGUAAGAAUAAGGAUCGGCUAACUCCGUGCCAGCAGCCGCGGUAAUACGGAGGAUCCAAGCGUUAUCCGGAACCAUUGGGUUUAAAGGGUCCGUAGGCGGUUUAAUAAGUCAGUGGUGAAAUCUGGUCGCUCAACGAUCAAACGGCCAUUGAUACUGUUAGACUUGAAUUACUAGGAAGUAACUAGAAUAUGUAGUGUAGCGGUGAAAUGCUUAGAUAUUACAUGGAAUACCAAUUGCGAAGGCAGGUUACUACUAGUGGAUUGACG